rfam:Aspergillus wentii DTO 134E9 unplaced genomic scaffold ASPWEscaffold_8, whole genome shotgun sequence.
GGCAAGAUGGCCGAGUGGUUAUGGCGCUGGUUUUAGGUUUCCAAUCACCAGUUGUGCGAACUUCGUGGGUUCGAAUCCCACUCUUGUCA